rnacentral:misc_RNA from 1 species
GAUGAAGAACGUAGCGAAAUGCGAUACGUAGUGUGAAUUGCAGAAUUCAGUGAAUCAUCGAAUCUUUGAACGCACAUUGCACCUCUCGGUAUUCCGGGAGGUAUGCCUGUUCGAGCGUCAUUUGUACCCUCAAGCUCUGCUUGGUGUUGGGUGUUUGUUCCGCCUCUGUGUGUGAACUCGCCUCAAAACAAUUGGCAGCCGGCGUACUUGUUUCGGAGCGCAGCACAUUUUGCGAUCCAGAUCAACGUACAGCGGCAUCCAAGAAGCCUUAUUUAACGCUCUUGACCUCCGAUCAGGUAGGGAUACCCGCUGAACUUAAGCAUAUCAAUAAGCGGAGGA